UACAGAGGGUGCGAGCGUUGUCCGGAAUCACUGGGCGUAAAGGGCGCGUAGGCGGCCUGAUAAGUAGGGGGUGAAAUCUUGCGGCUCAACCGCAAGGCUGCCUUCUAAACUGUCAGGCUGGAGCACGGUAGAGGCAGAUGGAAUUCCCGGUGUAGCGGUGGAAUGCGUAGAGAUCGGGAAGAACAUCGGUGGCGAAGGCGCUCUACUGGACCACAACUGACACUCAGGGACGAAAGCUAGGGGAGCGAAUGGG
rnacentral:rRNA from 1 species